GUGGGGAAUAUUCCGCAAUGGACGAAAGUCUGACGGAGCAACGCCGCGUGAGUGAUGAAGGUUUUCGGACUGUAAAGCUCUGUUGUUUAGGACGAAAGUGCCUGUUGCAAAUAGUUACAGGUAUUGACGGUACUGAACGAGGAAGCCACGGCUAACUACGUGCCAGCAGCCGCGGUAAUACGUAGGUGGCAAGCGUUGUCCGGAAUUAUUGGGCGUAAAGAGCAUGUAGGCGGGAAUCUAAGUCUGUUGUGAAAAUGCGGGGCUCAACCCCGUAUUGCGAUGGAAACUGGGUUUCUUGAGUGCAGGAGAGGAAAGGGGAAUUCCCAGUGUAGCGGUGAAAUGCGUAGAUAUUGGGAGGAACACCAGUGGCGAAGGCGCCUUUCUGGACUGUGUCUGACGCUGAGAUGCGAAAGCCAGGGUAGCGAACGGGAUUAGAAACCCGAGUAGUCC
rnacentral:rRNA from 1 species